GGUGGGAUAGCUGGGUCAAAUGGUGGUUCCAUUUCCAGUUUUCUGAGGAACCUCCAGACUGCUUUCCAUAGUGGUUGUACCAAUUUGCAGUCCCAUCAGUAAU
rnacentral:pre_miRNA from 1 species